GAAUAAUGCACAGCUGUGUGAGCAUCCUUUCAAGAUUCUGUUUUCUAGUCUUCUGGAUAUGUGCCCAUAACUAGGAUUUCUGGAUUAUAUAGUGUCCUUUUUUUAAUUUUUGAGGAACUUCCUGUUUCUCAGAAGCUACACCAUCUUACAUGCACCAGAAGCGUACGAGGUUCCCAUUUCUCAACAUCCUUGGCCACACUGUUUUUUGUGUGUGUGUGGUUGUGUAAUUUCCUAUUAUUUUCCUAAUACUGUCCAUCUAAUGCAUGUGAGGUGAUAGUUCUCUGUGGUUCUGAUUUGCAUUUCUCUGAUCACUAGUGACACUGAAGAUUUUUGUGUGUGUGCUUCUGGGCCAUUUCUGUGUCUUUUUGGAGAAAUGUCUG
rnacentral:lncRNA from 1 species